rnacentral:rRNA from 1 species
GACGAACGCUGGCGGCGUGCUUAACACAUGCAAGUCGAACGAAGUGGCGAACGGGUGAGUAACGCGUAAUCAACCUGCCCUUCAGAGGGGGACAACAGUUGGAAACGACUGCUAAUACCGCAUACUGAAGGAGGGGAUUGCGUGUGAUUAGCUAGUUGGAGGGGUAACGGCGCGCCAAGGCGAUGACCGGUAGCCGGGUGGGGAGGGUGGACGGCCACAAUGGGACUGAGACACGGCCCAGACUCCUACGGGAGGCAGCAGUGGGGAAUCUUCCGCAAUGGGGGAAAGUCUGACGGAGCAACGCCGCGUGAGGGAUGACGGCCUUCGGGUUGUAAAGCUCUGUUAAUCGGGACGCGGUACCGGGAUAGAAAGCCACGGCUAACUACGUGCCAGCAGCCGCGGUAAUUC